UGGGGAAUUUUACGCAAUGGGGGAAACCCUGACGUAGCGACACCGCGUGAGCGAAGAAGCCCUUUGGGGUGUAAAGCUCUGUCAGCUGGAACGAAAAAAAUGACGGUACCAGCAGAGGAAGCAUCGGCUAACUACGUGCCAGCAGCCGCGGUAAGACGUAGGAUGCGAGCGUUGUCCGGAUUCAUUGGGCGUAAAGAGUUCGUAGGUGGUUUGUUAAGUCUGAUGUUAAAGAUCGGGGCUCAACCCUGAGACUGCAUUGGAUACUGGCAGACUUGAGUAUGGUAGAGGCUAGUGGAAUUCCCAGUGUAGCGGUGAAAUGCGUAGAUAUUGGGAAGAACACCGGUGGCGUAGGCGACUAGCUGGGCCAUAACUGACGCUGAGGAACGAAAGCCAGGGUAGC
rnacentral:rRNA from 1 species